rnacentral:rRNA from 1 species
CGCGUGAGCAACCUGCCUUUCACAGGGGGAUAACGCAUCGAAAGAUGCGCUAAUACCGCAUGAGACCACAGUGCCACAUGGCAUAGGGGUCAAAGGAGCAAUCCGGUGAGAGAUGGGCUCGCGUCUGAUUAGCUAGUUGGUGAGGUAACGGCCCACCAAGGCGACGAUCAGUAGCCGACCUGAGAGGAAGGUCCCCCACAUUGGAACUGAGACACGGUCCAA